rnacentral:tRNA from 1 species
CAAAAUGUAGCUUAACUAAAGCCCCCCGAUUACACCGAGGCGUUGUCUGUUUAACCCAGAUCAUUUUGAG